rnacentral:lncRNA from 1 species
AGCUGCUAUAAAUAUUCAUGUACAGAUUUUUGUGUGAAUGUAAGUCUUCAUUUGUCUGAGAUAAAUGCCCAGGGGUGCAAUUGCUGGGUUGUAUGGUAGUCACAUGUUUAGCUUUUAAAGAAAUUGCCAAACUGUCAGAGUGGCUGUCCCAUUUUACUUUCCACCAGCAAUGUAUGAGUGAUUUGUCUUUUCUUCAUCCUUAGCAGCAUUUGGGGGCUAUUUUUUAUUUCAGCCGUUCUUACAAAAGAGAAAGAAAAGCUCCUUUGCUCAGCUUCCACUGCUCCUUCCACUGCAUAAUGCUGCCUUCCCUGGAGCUUGUUGCCCAGUUGGAAAAUCAACAGGUCCACGCUGCUUUUAUGAGCUGUAACACUCACUGCGAAGAUCUGCAGCUUCACUCCUGAGCCCAGCGAGACCAUGAGCCCACCGGGAGGAAGGAACAACUCCAGACAUGCUGCCUUAAGAGCUGUAACACUCACUGCGAAGGUCUGCAGCUUCACUCCUGAGCCAGUGAGACCACGAACCCGCCACAAGGAAGAAACUCUGAACACAUCAUCUGAACAUCAGAAGGAACAAACUCCAGACGCGCCACCUUAACAGCUGUAACACUCACCGCGAGGGUCCGCGGCUUCAUUCUUGAAGUCAGUGAGACCAAGAACCCACCAAUUCCGGACACACCAGGACCUUCCGCUGCUCGCUCCUCCUCGUCCCUUCUACCCGCUGGGGUCAGCCUCAUCGACCCCGUCUCAACUCUGACACAGUCUCUCUCUCUCUCUCUCUCUCUAUAUAUAUAUAUAUAUAUUUUUUUUUUAGAUGGAGUCUCGCUUUGCUCCCCAGGCUGGAGUGCAGUGGUGCAAUCUCUGCUCACUGCAAGCUCCACCUCCUGGUUUCACGCCAUUCUCCUGCCUCAGCGUCCCAAGUAG